rnacentral:rRNA from 1 species
GUCUGUUUGAAGGUAUAAAAAGUUUGACCUGCCCACUGAUAAAUUUGUUAAAGGGCCGCGGUAUCCUGACUGUGCAAAGGUAGCAUAAUCGUUAGUUUUUUAAUUGGAAUCUUGUAUGAAUGGUUUGACAAAAGAAAAUCUGUCUUUAUUGUUUUUUAUUGAAUUUAACUUUUAAGUGAAAAGGCUUAAAUAAAUUAAAAAGACGAUAAGACCCUAUAAAGCUUGAUAUUAAUUUUUUUAUUUAAUUAAAUUUUAAAAUGUAAUAAAGAUCUGGUAAAAAAGUUUUAUUUUGUUGGGGUGACAAUGGUAUAAUGAUUAUUAACUGUUAAUUUUUUUAGACAAAAAUAAUUGAAUAAGUUAUUUAGAAGAUCCUGUAUUAGAGAUUAAAAGUUUAAGUUACUUUAGGGAUAACAGCGUUAUUUUUUUUGAGAGUUCUUAUCGAGAAAAAAGUUUGCGACCUCGAUGUUGAAUUAAAAUAUCUAUAUAAUUGUAGCAGUUAUAUAAGAAGGUCUGUUCGACCUUUAAAAUUUUACAUGAUUUGAGUUCAGACCGGCGUGAG